AACGUAGGAGGCAAGCGUUAUCCGGAAUUACUGGGCGUAAAGCGCGUGAAGGCGGGUGUUUAAGUGACUGUUGAAAGCUCCUUGCUAAACUGGGAGAGGUGCGGUGAUACUGGAUACCUGGAGGGGGUCAGAGGGAAGCAGAAUUCCGGGUGUAGUGGUGAAAUGCGUAGAGAUCCGGAGGAAUACCAGAGGCGAAGGCGGCUUCCUGGGACUUACCUGACGCUGAGACGCGAAAGCAUGGGGAGCGAACGGG
rnacentral:rRNA from 1 species